GAUGAACGCUGGCGGCGUGCCUAAUACAUGCAAGUCGAGCGAACGGACGAGAAGCUUGCUUCUCUGAUGUUAGCGGCGGACGGGUGAGUAACACGUGGAUAACCUACCUAUAAGACUGGGAUAACUUCGGGAAACCGGAGCUAAUACCGGAUAAUAUUUUGAACCGCAUGGUUCAAAAGUGAAAGACGGUCUUGCUGUCACUUAUAGAUGGAUCCGCGCUGCAUUAGCUAGUUGGUAAGGUAACGGCUUACCAAGGCAACGAUGCAUAGCCGACCUGAGAGGGUGACCGGCCACACGGGAACUGAGACACGGUCCAGACUCCUACGGGAGGCAGCAGUAGGGAAUCUUCCGCAAUGGGCGAAAGCCUGACGGAGCAACGCCGCGUGAGUGAUGAAGGUCUUCGGAUCGUAAAACUCUGUUAUUAGGGAAGAACAUAUGUGUAAGUAACUGUGCACAUCUUGACGGUACCUAAUCAGAAAGCCACGGCUAACUACGUG
rnacentral:rRNA from 1 species